rnacentral:pre_miRNA from 14 species
GGUGGCAGGGUCAAAACCAGCGCAGAUUGGCAUGCCCCUUGCAUCUCUGGGCGAGUAUUUCUUUGAGUGCCUCACUCUAAAGCACUCUGCUUCUCCCCAGGGGCUUCC